rnacentral:tRNA from 1 species
GUAUAUAUAAUUUAAAUAAAAUAUUAAACUGUGACUUUAAUUAUGAGAGUUAAA